rnacentral:misc_RNA from 1 species
GAUGAAGAACGUAGCGAAAUGCGAUAAGUAAUGCGAAUUGCAGAAUUCCAGUGAGUCAUCGAAUCUUUGAACGCACAUUGCGCCCUUUGGUAUUCCGAAGGGCAUGCCUGUUCGAGCGUCAUUAUCACCCCUCAAGCCCUCGGCUUGGUGUUGGACGGUUUGGUGGAGGCCCCCUCGGGGGCUCCUGCCCCUCCCAAAGACAAUGACGGCGGCCUCGUUGGACCCCCGGUACACUGAGUCCUUCACGGGACACGUAUCGGACACAUGGGUUUACGGGACACGGUCUGCCUCCCCUCAGGGAGAAUCUUUCUAAGGUUGACCUCGGAUCAGGUAGGGAUACCCGCUGAACUUAAGCAUAUCAAUAAGCGGAGGA